GACGAACGCUGGCGGCGUGCUUAACACAUGCAAGUCGAACGGAAAGGCCCUGCUUUUGUGGGGUGCUCGAGUGGCGAACGGGUGAGUAACACGUGAGUAACCUGCCCUUGACUUUGGGAUAACUUCAGGAAACUGGGGCUAAUACCGGAUAGGAGCUCCUGCUGCAUGGUGGGGGUUGGAAAGUUUCGGCGGUUGGGGAUGGACUCGCGGCUUAUCAGCUUGCUGGUGGGGUAGUGGCUUACCAAGGCUUUGACGGGUAGCCGGCCUGAGAGGGUGACCGGUCACAUUGGGACUGAGAUACGGCCCAGACUCCUACGGGAGGCAGCAGUGGGGAAUAUUGCACAAUGGGCGGAAGCCUGAUGCAGCAACGCCGCGUGCGGGAUGACGGCCUUCGGGUUGUAAACCGCUUUCGCCUGUGACGAAGCGUGAGUGACGGUAAUGGGUAAAGAAGCACCGGCUAACUACGUG
rnacentral:rRNA from 1 species